UACGUAGGGUGCGAGCGUUAAUCGGAAUUACUGGGCGUAAAGCGUGCGCAGGCGGCUUUUUAAGACAGGUGUGAAAUCCCCGGGCUUAACCUGGGAAUGGCGCUUGUGACUGGAAGGCUAGAGUGCGGCAGAGGGGGAUGGAAUUCCUGGUGUAGCAGUGAAAUGCGUAGAUAUCAGGAGGAACACCGAUGGCGAAGGCAGUCCCCUGGGUCGACACUGACGCUCAGGCACGAAAGCGUGGGGAGCAAACAGG
rnacentral:ncRNA from 3 species